UACGUAGGGGGGCUAGCGUUGUCCGGAAUCAUUGGGCGUAAAGAGCGUGUAGGCGGCCCGGUAAGUCCGCUGUAAAAGUCAAAGGCUUAACCUUUGAAUGUCAGUGGAUACUGCCGGGCUAGAGUCCGGAAGAGGCGAGUGGAACUCCUGGUGUAGCGGUGGAAUGCGCAGAUAUCAGGAGGAACACCGAUGGCGAAGGCAGCUCGCUGGGACGUGACUGACGCUGAGACGCGAAAGCGUGGGGAGCAAACAGG
rnacentral:rRNA from 1 species